rnacentral:rRNA from 1 species
UACGUAGGUGGCAAGCGUUGUCCGGAUUUACUGGGCGUAAAGAGCGCGCAGGCGGUCGUUCAAGUCGCGUGUGAAAGCCCCCGGCUCAACUGGGGAGGGUCACGCGAUACUGAUCGACUCGAAGGCAGGAGAGGGUAGUGGAAUUCCCGGUGUAGUGGUGAAAUGCGUAGAUAUCGGGAGGAAUACCAGUGGCGAAGGCGGCUUCCUGGCCUGUUCUUGACGCUGAGGCGCGAAAGCUAGGGUAGCAAACGGG